UACCAGCACCCCGAGUGGUCGGGACGAUUAUUGGGCCUAAAGCAUCCGUAGCCGGUUUUACAAGUCCUCCGUUAAAUCCAACUGCUUAACAGAUGGGCCGCGGAGGAUACUAUAAGACUAGGAGGCAGGAGAGGCAAGCGGUACUCAGUGGGUAGGGGUAAUAUCCGUUGAUCCAUUGAAGACCACCAGUGGCGAAGGCGGCUUGCCAGAAUGCGCUCGACGGUGAGGGAUGAAAGCGGGGGGAGCAAACCGG
rnacentral:rRNA from 1 species